rnacentral:misc_RNA from 1 species
AAAGUCGUAACAAGGUAACCGUAGGUGAACCUGCGGUUGGAUCAUUAACAAAAAAUUGGAAGGUUUCUUUUUUUUGGAGGACUCAACCCCUUCAAAGGAAAAAACUUUUUAAACACCAAUUGUGAACCUGUAUUAUUGUUUCUUUUCUGCGGUUCUUAUCAUGAGCUAGUUCUCUGUGAUAUAGCCCAGAAAAAACCUUUUUUAAACAAAGAUUUAUAACAUUUUGACCAUUAAAUAAAAGUUUGAAUUUUUUUUUAAACAUUAAAUAAAUUAAAAAAACAACUUUUGGCAACGGAUCUCUAGGCUCUU